AACAGCCGCUAUUAUUUAGACUGUGUUUUCCUCUGCUUUCAUUGCUUCAACUUUUAAGUCUUCAUCUGAUCAUGUGUAACGAGGCAACGAGCAGGGAUGAGACAAUAUCAUUGACCUUCACCUUUUGAGAGGAUAUUUCUGCAUAACACAUCUAAGACCAAUAUAUAGAAAAGUCAAGAACGGAUUAUCAAACCAUUGAAUUUUGACGCCAAACUUUCAUGAACGAGUCCACGAACAGUCAACUUCAUAAGCGUUUUCCCGUUUAUCCAGACUGACUUAGAAACGACCGAGAUAUCAUUGGAAAUGUCUCUUUGUCAGAUUUCCAGAUCAUUUUCAGAUUGACAAACCGAGGUACGGUUAGGAAGUUAUGGCCAUUUUAGUUUCGGGUAUCAAAUCUGUUCAAAUCUGAAAAUCAUAAACAUAGUCUUCUAAUUUGGAAACCCUAAAUAUAUUUUAGGAAAGUUUCUAUUUUUGGAAACUUUAUUUCUGGAGAUUGUGGACCUAAGCCGUUAACUCUCGUGUUGCAGUUGAACG